GGGAAUAGCUCAGUUGGUAGAGCACGACCUUGCCAAGGUCGGGGUCGCGAGUUCGAAUCUCGUUUCCC
rnacentral:tRNA from 8 species